UUGCGGUAAAAAUACGAGAUUUUACCGUAUCCAUUUACUAUAUUUUUAACGGCAAUCAAUCAAUCAGUAAACAUUUUGGGAGUCAUAAGGGGGCGGUACCCGGCGACUCCACCAAACAUCCUUCAUUUGAGGAUCAUGGGGUCGAAACAGGAUCGACGGACGUCUAAAGGGGUUAGCUUUGUCUCGGCGGGGUGCCACCGUAUCGGCCCGAACAGUACAAUUGCAAAUGACAAUCGUGCUCCGGUUGCCGUUGCUGCGUAAGCAGUAACCAAACCGAAACUUAAGCCCUUGCGCCUAGCCGCGUAAGGCGGGGUUCGCAGGUACCUGGCAACAGAAACCUGCAUU
rnacentral:tmRNA from 1 species